GACAGUUGUAGCUCAGUGGAUAGGACGUUGGGCUACUGAUCGGAAGGUCAUGAGUUUAAUCCCCAGCACUGCCA